rnacentral:rRNA from 1 species
AGUGAACGCUGGCGGUAGGCCUAACACAUGCAAGUCGAACGGCAGCACAGUAAGAGCUUGCUCUUACGGGUGGCGAGUGGCGGACGGGUGAGGAAUACAUCGGAAUCUACUUUUUCGUGGGGGAUAACGUAGGGAAACUUACGCUAAUACCGCAUACGACCUACGGGUGAAAGCAGGGGAUCUUCGGACCUUGCGCGAUUGAAUGAGCCGAUGUUGGAUUAGCUAGUUGGCGGGGUAAAGGCCCACCAAGGCGACGAUCCGUAGCUGGUCUGAGAGGAUGAUCAGCCACACUGGAACUGAGACACGGUCCAGACUCCUACGGGAGGCAGCAGUGGGGAAUAUUGGACAAUGGGCGCAAGCCUGAUCCAGCCAUACCGCGUGGGUGAAGAAGGCCUUCGGGUUGUAAAGCCCUUUUGUUGGGAAAGAAAAGCGGCAGGUUAAUACCCCGCUGUUCUGACGGUACCCGAAGAAUAAGCACCGGCUAACUUCGUG